rnacentral:rRNA from 1 species
GGAUCCAGACUUUGAUCCUGGCUCAGGACGAACGCUGGCGGCGUGCCUAACACAUGCAAGUCGAACGGAACUUUUUUAAAAGAUUUCUUCGGAAUGAAUUUGAUUAAGUUUAGUGGCGGACGGGUGAGUAACGCGUGAGUAACCUGCCUCUAAGAGGGGAAUAACAUUCUGAAAAGAAUGCUAAUACCGCAUAAUAUAUAUUUAUCGCAUGGUAGAUAUAUCAAAGAUUUAUCGCUUAGAGAUGGACUCGCGUCCGAUUAGUUAGUUGGUGAGGUAACGGCUCACCAAGACUGCGAUCGGUAGCCGGACUGAGAGGUUGAACGGCCACAUUGGGACUGAGACACGGCCCAGACUCCUACGGGAGGCAGCAGUGGGGGAUAUUGCGCAAUGGGGGAAACCCUGACGCAGCAACGCCGCGUGAAGGAUGAAGGUCUUCGGAUUGUAAACUUCUUUUAUUAAGGACGAAGAAAGUGACGGUACUUAAUGAAUAAGCUCCGGCUAACUACGUGCCAGCAGCCGCGGUAAUACGUAGGGAGCAAGCGUUGUCCGGAUUUACUGGGUGUAAAGGGUGCGUAGGCGGCUUUGCAAGUCAGAUGUGAAAUCUAUGGGCUCAACCCAUAGCCUGCAUUUGAAACUGCAGAGCUUGAGUGAAGUAGAGGCAGGCGGAAUUCCCCGUGUAGCGGUGAAAUGCGUAGAGAUGGGGAGGAACACCAGUGGCGAAGGCGGCCUGCUGGGCUUUAACUGACGCUGAGGCACGAAAGCGUGGGUAGCAAACAGGAUUAGAUACCCUGGUAGUCCACGCUGUAAACGAUGAUUACUAGGUGUGGGGGGUCUGACCCCUUCCGUGCCGGAGUUAACACAAUAAGUAAUCCACCUGGGGAGUACGGCCGCAAGGUUGCAACUCAAAGGAAUUGACGG